UCAAGAUGGUGCCUCCGAGAGACUGCCGUGCGACCUGCUCCGAACCUAUCCAUGAAAGACAGCAGUACCUCAUGUGUUCUGCGCGUCGUGAGUGUUCCGAAUGUAUCAGUGUCGGACAAGAAUAAUACAAUGUUUUCAUGAAAUCUGGCACCUUGAUCUACAAAUGUACAGCAUGUGUAAGGAGGCGUAGUAGGCUUACGCCGAAGCUGGGGAACAAGCGGGGAACGCCCAUCAACAUGGAUGAAAAGUCAACCACGCCUGAAGUAUUAUCGCUUCCGGGAGCACGAUGGUCAAAAGUGGACUCGUUAACUAAUGAAGUUCAUCGUCUAACAGGUGCAAAUGACGAAUUGUGGUCCGGUGUUUCUUGCUUCGAGCGCCUGAUGGAUUGUAUACGCAGUGUGAGAUAUCUUAACCGCCUGGUGCUACGCAACCGACACCGUCAGACGUCGUCGCCUCUUGCAACGUGUAUCAAGGUGGAAUUGCAGGGGAAGAAGAACCCUUGAAGUUUGGCCUCAGAAAACAGCAAGAGAUGGAAUUGCACGCGAAGAACCCUUGAAAUUUGGCCUCAUAAAAC